rnacentral:rRNA from 1 species
UUCGUGCAUGAGCGUCAGUGCAGGCCCAGGGGAUUGCCUUCGCCAUCGGUGUUCCUCCGCAUAUCUACGCAUUUCACUGCUACACGCGGAAUUCCAUCCCCCUCUGCCGCACUCUAGCCUUGCAGUCACAAUGGCAGUUCCCAGGUUGAGCCCGGGGAUUUCACCACUGUCUUACAAAACCGCCUGCGCACGCUUUACGCCCAGUAAUUCCGAUUAACGCUUGCACCCUACGUAUUACCGCGGCUGCUGGCACGUAGUUAGCCGGUGCUUAUUCUUACGGUACCGUCAUGACCCGGGGAUAUUAGCCCCAGGCUUUUCGUUCCGUACAAAAGCAGUUUACAACCCGAGGGCCUUCAUCCUGCACGCGGCAUUGCUGGAUCAGGCUUUCGCCCAUUGUCCAAAAUUCCCCACUGCUGCCUCCCGUAGGAGUCUGGGCCGUGUCUCAGUCCCAGUGUGGCUGGUCGUCCUCUCAGACCAGCUACAGAUCGCAGGCUUGGUAAGCCUUUACCCCACCAACUACCUAAUCUGCCAUCAGCCGCUCUAGUAGCACAAGGCCCGAAGGUCCCCUGCUUUCAUCCGUAGAUCUCAUGCGGUAUUAGCUACUCUUUCGAGUAGUUAUCCCCCACUACUAGGCACGUUCCGAUGUAUUACUCACCCGUUCGCCACUCGUCAGCAUCCGAAGACCUGUUACCGUUCGACUUGCAUGUGUAAAGCAUGCCGCCAGCGUUCAAU